rnacentral:rRNA from 1 species
GACAGAGGGUGCAAACGUUGUUCGGAAUUACUGGGCGUAAAGCGCGUGUAGGCGGCUAAGUAAGUCGGGCGUGAAAUCCCCGGGCUCAACCUGGGAACUGCAUCCGAAACUGCCUUGCUCGAGUAUGGGAGAGGGAAGUGGAAUUUCCGGUGUAGCGGUGAAAUGCGUAGAUAUCGGAAGGAACAUCAGUGGCGAAGGCGACUUCCUGGACCAAUACUGACGCUCAGGUGCGAAAGCGUGGGGAGCAAACAGG